CAUUAUAUAUAUUUUUGUAUUUAUACAGAAGUAUGAACAUCAAGAAUUGGGAAGUUUACUCACAGUGACAAAGCAGAAGGAAAUGGACAAGGGACUUUACAGAGUUUCUCACUCUAUUGAGAGAUGGUAAAUGUAGGAGAUGCAUUUCUGAUUUUGCCUGCAAACAGCACAUCCUACCCCCUACACUUAUUGCACUACAGGGUUUGAAGCAACAUUGCUGAACAUUCUGUUCUAUGAACAGGGAGAAUUUUGGUUACUACAUGCAGGGGAAAAGAUUUGUGCUGCUCUAAACCCCAUUACACUCACAUGAUAAUGUGGAAUUUCUGUUCUCUUUUGUUCUAUAUAAAAUUUAGUAUUGCUGUCUCCUCUAAGACCAUUAAAAAUAUUUUCCCUUUUGUAAUUUGUUUUUUUCAUCUUUAUUAGAAGAACAAAAUUAAUUUUGAGGCAACAAGACAGCUAUGAGAUAAAUUGCUGUCAGAUGAAUCUAAUUCUGAAUGCAUGAUCCAGAGGUCUACAGCUUCUUCACAGACAGACAGGAAUUCUGUACCAGCCCAUUUUUUAAAUCCACCAUGCAAUUAAUCAGGUCGAUGCAGUCUAUCAGCACCUGUGUUAUUUUUUGAUGCAGUGAAAAAUAUCCAGUCCAUAAUUUUCAUAGUCUAGAGCUCAAGUACGUUCAUGUAUCCUGUCACCUGAGAACUACAGAAACUCCAGGCUCUGUGCACUUACAUCACUGUCAGUAUGGGAAAGAUUAGUGAAAGGAAAAGCAUUCCUCAGGUAGGCCUGGGAAGAGCUGUGCAUCAUCAGAGAUGAGGUGAAACUUGCUGUGACGUGUGACUGGGACAGGCAGAGCAUGUGGGCUUGUUGCAAAUCCAACAGGCAGAAUCCAAAUCCAACAUGCAGAAUCCCAUUAGCAGCUGCUGAGAUGAUCCCAGGAUUUUACAGCAUUGGCAAAUGAUUGCUGUAGAAGUAAAUAUUGGCUAACACAGGGCUGUGUGCCCAUGACCCUUUGAACUGGGGCACUGUGGCAUUUCAGUAUAUCCACAAAGGCACACAGAAUGACCUGUAAGGAACUCUGUACUCGGAUGAUUACUUCUCACCAGUCAAACACCCAGACAAGGGUGUAGGGACACUGUGUUCUAAGAAGUGGACACCAGAAAUAACUGCAGGGUUUGUGGUUAUGACUCCUGUGGCCACAGUCAGGGUGGGAAGAAUUGUACUGAUUAUGACUCAUCAGGAACUGAAAAUUUUUUCAUGCGAGUUGGCUUAAUGAUAAUGUAAAAGUAAAUAUUCUGAAGACCAAGAAAGGCAACAAAAAGAUUUUUGAUGUAAGGUGUGAACCUCUGACUGUGAUCAGCAUUUUAAGAAGGAAUUCAAGGUGUUACAGACAAGGAAUUAUUCUUAGCAGAAUAAAGCAUGGAAUAUCUUCUUUUAAGUUUUUUUCCUGCCCUGUAAUCUGCAAUAAAAAUGUGAGGACCGAGCCCUUCCUAUAUUUGUGGGUUAAUUUUCUAUUGAAAGAGCCUCUUAAUGCAGGCACAUUCCCCUCUUCUAGGACAAAAGACAUGAGCAGCUUUUGGGUGGCACAUAUACUGGUGGGACAGAAACAGCUGGUGCUGCAUGCCUUACUCUUGCCAAAAGUUUGCCUCAUUUAGCAGGUCAUCAGUAUCAUUCAGCAGCAGGAUAUAGCAGGUCACCACUCCUGAGCAACAACACAGAGUUAGGAGUAUCUUAUCUUGAGAGAUUCAUGGCCAAGAAGCACAACCAGGGACUGAGCUCCUGUCUGACAGAACAUGUGGCACAGCUGUCUACCAAGGGAGCAAGGCUGUCCACAUACACAUCACUUAAAAGCAGUAGCUACAGAUGACACAGGAAAAUCCAGGGAACAAGAGCCUAUUCCUUCAUCAUACAACAUAAAACCUGCAAAUAAGCAAUAAAAAAAAGUUUGUCUUAAACUGGGCCUGUGAUUUGUAAGACACAGAAAUCAGCCCAGGGGCUGGGGUAGGAAUAGUGGCGUAAAAUUACCACCUAAACCAGGGGUAAAGGUGGUAAUAUUUCAGAAAUUCAGAUAACAUUGUACCAGCAACAACAUUUUUUGACUCCUGUGAUUAUCACUUGCUUCCACCUGGGCUCUUAUCAGUGUGCUGGGAAAACUGUAUUUGUGAAGCAUUGCUAAGGGGGGUAAGAGGACAAUGGGAAUUUCAAUCACAGUUGAUCUCAGCAACUCACCCGUAUCAGCCAACAAAAUGGAAUUCUUAACAGUGAAGUCAUUACUAUUCCAUUAUAUACAUUAUUUCAGCAAUACUGUAAAUAUUGAGACAUAACAAGACAGGCUAUCAUCCAAGCAAAAAAAAAAAGUAUCCCUCCUAAAGAGCUAAUAAAUUAAUGACACUAAUAAAGAAUCGUAUUACAAAAUAUCAUCGGGGAUGAACACUGAAGAAGCCCAGAGGGUUAACUGUGCAUGUUUUUUUAAUGAUUUUUACUUUUCUGUUCCUCGCUGCCCUGCGGCCGGAGGAGCAUCACUGGGCUCUGUCACCUGCUCCCGGCUGGUCACUAGAGGGCAAUGAAGGGUCCCGGAGCAGAGGUUCCCUGCAGAGUCUCGGCUUCCCCGGAACGACUUCUUUUCUCUUUUAGUGUAAGAGAAAUAUAAUUUCAUCUGUCUACAUAGUCCUGGCACAGAUACUAUGGCCUUAUAAUCUUGCAACUUUAGCUACAGGAAAUAAGAAUUUUAUGUUGUGGACAGCACAAACUGAUUUGGAUAUAUGCAGGAGCCCUGCUGGUGUCAGGCUCGUAGCCCAGCCCUGGAUGUGUGAGGAACGGCUGAGCAUGGCAGAUGGGCUGCAGAGGUGCCAACAGCAACCACCAGCACUCUCAAGAAAAACACGUGGCAGUAGUGUGGAAAAAUGAGUGAUGAUGUCAGAACUGGCUUAUGAAACAGCUUUGUGUCUUUACAAUGAACAGUUCCUCUUCAUCCAAAGUUUCCCAACACUUGAAGGGGAAUAAGAAUACUGAUUUAUCUCUGUAAACUGUUAAAAAAGCAGAUGAAGACUUUAGGUAACAUUGCUGCUGAGGAAUAGAAAGUUACAAUAUACUUUAUCUGAGCCAGAUAACCAUUCUAUUUUCUAUACUUUUUUAUUAGACAUAAAUCAAUAAUUUGAGAAAAUAUUAAUAUUUAAUAAAUGUUAAAUGAAAUCUGCAACAGUUUCAUGGUAACUGGACCCAUUGUGAUGAAUUUUUCACUUUAUUAAACAGUUUAGAAUACAUUAUUUAAUUAGGCUACAGGGAUUUUUCUUCUCUUUUUGUACUGAAUUAAAAAAUCCUUAUGAGAUUGUGGCUUCUACGAAAAUGAAGCAAAUAAAUUUAUUAGCUUGGAGUGACAAAUUUGGUAAACUCACUGUGUUCACUUCCUUUUAUUUUACUGAAAACCAAACAUGUCACAGUCCCCCAUUCAAAUCACAAAAAAAUAGAGAAAAGGAACAAUUAGUAAUGGGAAAAUGUUUACAAAUCUUACUGUAAAGUAUGAUUUGGACCUCUUUGUAUUACAGCUUUCAUACAGCUGCAUUAUGGUGCAAUAAAGAUGGAAAUAACUUAUGUUUUGAGAAGGAUGUUGGUUCAACACAAGUCUAUACAUUACCAGAAUCUGAUGGUUUCAUUUCUUGAAGCCCAUGGUGAACUUUUCUCCACUAAGAACCACUACAGAAAUGCUCCUGUAAAUAUUAAAAUCCUAUUGACCGAAACUAAAUAGACCCCACAGGGUUGCUCACUUGUGACUAAUUUACUUUGAAGAUUUUUCAUUAGUCAUUUUUCUGCUGGCCCCUGUAGUAGCCUUCCUGUACUUCUUGGU